AAGCUCUGCCUUCUCUCUAACUUUCUCAUCAUCUUCUUCACUGUUUCAUCGUCUUCUUCUCCACUGCAUCUGCUUAGGUAAGUAAACCUGGCAGAGGUUGUUAUGGCAAGGAGGAGAGGUCGCCCAAGAAAAGAAUUAGUACCAAUUUAUGCGAGUGAUGUAGUUUUCCCAAAAGCUGUUACCACUGUACCGAUGGUAGGUACUACUGUUCCAUUAAAUCCUGCUGCGAUUACUGUUCCAUUGCAUCAAAUAACAACAGAUCCACAACCAUCUGGAGUUUCAGUGAUACCAAUAGCAAAU
rnacentral:lncRNA from 1 species